CGACUUCGAUCUGUUGCGGGCAAAUAAAGUGAAUGUGGCUGUCAAUUCCCCCGGCAGUCAGAAUCAUCCCUUCCCCAGCAAUGGCUUCUGUCCCAGGCCCAAUGAUGAUCGUGACAUUAUCUUGAAUGUUGGGGUUUCCGGCUUUUCCGAUAGCAGCAAUUUUCCCAUCUUUAAUCCCAAUAUCCGCUUUAACAAUUCCCCACCAAUCGAGAAUUAAGGCGUUAGUAAUCACCGCAUCCAUGGCCCCAUUGGCAUUUGUAAUUGGGGACUGCCCCAUGCCAUCCCG
rnacentral:sRNA from 1 species